rnacentral:rRNA from 1 species
UACUGCUGACGGUAUCUGCAGAAUAAGCACCGGCUAACUACGUGCCAGCAGCCGCGGUAAUACGUAGGGUGCAAGCGUAAUCGGAAUUACUGGCGUAAAGCGUGUGUAGGCGGUUCGGAAAGAAAGAUGUGAAAUCCAGGGCUCAACCUUGGAACUGCAUUUUUAACUGCCGAGCUAGAGUAUGUCAGAGGGGGGUAGAAUUCCACGUGUAGCAGUGAAAUGCGUAGAUAUGUGGAGGAAUACCGAUGGCGAAGGCAGCCCCCUGGGAUAAUACUGACGCUCAGACACGAAAGCGUGGGGAGCAAACAGGAUUAGAUACCCUGGUAGUCCACGCCCUAAACGAUGUCAACUAGCUGUUGGGGCCGUUAGGCCUUAGUAGCGCAGCUAACGCGUGAAGUUGACCGCCUGGGGAGUACGGUCGCAAGAUUAAAACUCAAAGGAAUUGACGGGGACCCGCACAAGCGGUGGAUGAUGUGGAUUAAUUCGAUGCAACGCGAAAAACCUUACCUACCCUUGACAUGUCUGGAAAGCCGAAGAGAUUUGGCCGUGCUCGCAAGAGAACCGGAACACAGGUGCUGCAUGGCUGUCGUCAGCUCGUGUCGUGAGAUGUUGGGUUAAGUCCCGCAACGAGCGCAACCCUUGUCAUUAGUUGCUACGCAAGAGCACUCUAAUGAGACUGCCGGUGACAAACCGGAGGAAGGUGGGGAUGACGUCAAGUCCUCAUGGCCCUUAUGGGUAGGGCUUCACACGUCAUACAAUGGUCGGGACAGAGGGUCGCCAACCCGCGAGGGGGAGCCAAUCUCAGAAACCCGAUCGUAGUCCGGAUCGCAGUCUGCAACUCGACUGCGUGAAGUCGGAAUCGCUAGUAAUCGCGGAUCAGAAUGUCGCGGUGAAUACGUUCCCGGGUCUUGUACACACCGCCCGUCACACCAUGGGAGUGGGUUUCACCAGAAGUAGGUAGCCUAACCGUAAGGAGGGCGCUUACCACGGUGGGAUUCAUGACUGGGGUGAAGUCGUAACAAGGUAGCCGUAAGCUUGGUGAGUCGUAUACAUCACUACGUGU